CCGUUGCGACAUGUGCGUUGUCUAGCGCCAGGUUGUAACGAGUAGGAAGGUCGUGGCGGUUGCGUUGAAGGCUAUGAGCGUGGGCUCGGCUGGAGCUUCCGUCAGUGCAGAUCGUAAUGGUAGUAGCAAAUAUUCAAGUUCGAUCCUUGAAGACUGAAGUGGAGAAGGGUUCCACGUGAACAGUAGUUGGAUGUGGGUCAGUCGAUCCUAAGGCUGCUGUACGGCCAAGGCGGAUGUACGGUACAGCAGGUUUAACUUAUUGCCAACAUCUAGCCUCGUGUAAGAAGUCGGCUUGUCGGAUGACAUUGAGCUUCUUCUUCAGGGGAGAAGCACGAUCUCAUUCUAGUUCCGAAGCAUCACAAGUCGAGCCGAACGCACAUGCGCACUUAACUGUGUGUGUGUGUGAGUGUGAAGCUCGUAAUGUGACGCGCUACUCUUAUAUUAGGAGUGAGCUGCCAAAUGGCGUCCAACUUGACUUGUGUUGAUUAACAUCAAGACGUGUAUCUUAACGUGUCUCUGAUUGUUGAUUGACGCGCUUACUGUCUAACCGGUACGUCGCUCAUCUCUCUAAAUACUGAGACCCGUUUUGUAGUGUGUGUGUUAUUGUGUGUGUGAUUCUGCUGUACGGCCAAGGCGGAUGUACGGUACAGCAGGCAGGUUUACCUUGAAUAAAUCAGAGUGCUCAAUACAAGCGUUUGCUUGAAUAGCUCAUCAUGGAAUAAUGAAAUAGGACUUCGGUUCUUUUUGUUGGUUUUAGAACUGAUUUAAUGGUUAAGAGGGACAAACCGGGGGCAUUCGUAUCAUUACGCGAGAGGUGAAAUUCGUGGACCGUAGUGAGACGCCCAACAGCGAAAGCAUUUGCCAAGAAUGUCUUCAUUAAUCAAGAACGAAAGUCAGAGGUUCGAAGGCGAUUAGAUACCGCCCUAGUUCUGACCGUAAACGAUGCCAUCUCGCGAUUCGGAGGGUUUUUGCCCUGCCGAGGAGCUAUCCGGAAACGAAAGUCUUUCGGUUCCGGGGGUAGUAUGGUUGCAAAGCUGAAACUUAAAGAAAUUGACGGAAGGGCACCACAAG
rnacentral:ncRNA from 1 species